UUGGAAUAUUUUAUUUCACCCCCCUUAUCACCCUUUAGAUAUCAAAGAUAUUGUUGUUGAGUGAGCAGUAAUACGAAAAAGAUUUUUGAAGUUAGACCAUGAGAUUAAGAUUACUAUUUCGUACUUUUUUUUAGUAAUGUAAGUAAAAAAAUUUAGAGCCUCAUACAUAUAUUUUACUUUUAAGAGAUAUAACACUUCUGUGACUCUAUUAUGAUUAAGAAAGUUAAGUUAUUU
rnacentral:lncRNA from 1 species